rnacentral:rRNA from 1 species
UACAGAGACUGCAAGCGUUAUUCGGAUUCACUGGGCGUAAAGGGUGCGCAGGCGGCCAGGUGUGUCAGGUGUGAAAGCCCGGAGCUUAACUCCGGAAUUGCGCCUGAAACUACUUGGCUAGAGCAUUGGAGAGGGUAGCGGAAUUCACGGUGUAGCAGUGAAAUGCGUAGAUAUCGUGAGGAACACCAGAGGCGAAGGCGGCUACCUGGACAAUUGCUGACGCUCGGACACGACAGCAUGGGGAGCGAACGGG